ACAUGCCGUCGAGCGAACAGAAGGGAGCUUGCUCCCGGAUGUUAGCGGCGGACGGGUGAGUAACACGUGGGUAACCUGCCUGUAAGACUGGGAUAACUCCGGGAAACCGGAGCUAAUACCGGAUAGUUCCUUGAACCGCAUGGUUCAAGGAUGAAAGACGGUUUCGGCUGUCACUUACAGAUGGACCCGCGGCGCAUUAGCUAGUUGGUGGGGUAAUGGCUCACCAAGGCGACGAUGCGUAGCCGACCUGAGAGGGUGAUCGGCCACACUGGGACUGAGACACGGCCCAGACUCCUACGGGAGGCAGCAGUAGGGAAUCUUCCGCAAUGGACGAAAGUCUGACGGAGCAACGCCGCGUGAGUGAUGAAGGUUUUCGGAUCGUAAAGCUCUGUUGUUAGGGAAGAACAAGUGCGAGAGUAACUGCUCGCACCUUGACGGUACCUAACCAGAAAGCCACGGCUAACUACGUGCCAGCAGCCGCGGUAAUACGUAGGUGGCAAGCGUUGUCCGGAAUUAUUGGGCGUAAAGGGCUCGCAGGCGGUUUCUUAAGUCUGAUGUGAAAGCCCCCGGCUCAACCGGGGAGGGUCAUUGGAAACUGGGAAACUUGAGUGCAGAAGAGGAGAGUGGAAUUCCACGUGUAGCGGUGAAAUGCGUAGAGAUGUGGAGGAACACCAGUGGCGAAGGCGACUCUCUGGUCUGUAACUGACGCUGAGGAGCGAAAGCGUGGGGAGCGAACAGGAUUAGAUACCCUGGGUAGUCCACGCCGUAAAACGAUGAGUGCUAAGUGUU
rnacentral:rRNA from 1 species